ensembl:lncRNA
GUAUUUCAAGGAGAAUUGGAAUAUCUUGCGAAGUAAAUUUAACUCGGGAAACCCACAGAAGAAUAAAUUUAGAGCUGAAAGCUGAACAUUUGAGUCCACACCCUUCUUUUUUACAGACUGGGGAAACUGAAGGUCGAGCCUGAUUAUCCUUUUCAGGAUUGUACAGCUAGUAAAAUCCAAGCAUAAUUCGAACUCGGGUCUCCCUCAUUCCAAGCCUUAACACACUAUCCAACUACACCUCCAUUUUCCUCUUUGAACCUAUUACAUAUCUAAUUUUAUUUAAUGUGAUCGUUUUGAUUCCGUUCUAGUAAUCUAAUGCUAGAACUCAUGAAAUUAUAAAGCUUGCCGAGUCAGAUUGUUUUCUUGGUGUACAGAAUGGAAAGACAUAGGACAUUCUGGGAUCGAUGGCUAGGACAUUGGGCUCACCUGUAAAAUUAGCUGAAGGAGGAAAUGGCAAAUCACUCCAGUAUCUUUGCCAACAAAAUUCUGAAUAGGGUCAUGAAGAGUCAGACACAAUUGAAAACAACAAAAACAGGAGAAAAGCGGUCAGAAGAACAGCCAAUUCUCUCCUGUGGACUUCUGCUGGAUCCUUCUGGUUGUAUAUUUAGCAAACAUUUAGGUUCUAAGAGAGUGGUAGCUCUUCCUGAUAAGGAAGAGGCUUGAUAACCACCACCUCCCAGCAGACGGUAGUGGAGGGAGCAGAUGGCCUGAAGGGGCCAAUCGCCAGCAGGUGGUAGCAGAGAGUAAUGGUUCAGUUGAGAGGCAGCUAAAGAACCACAAGAGGCGACUUGAUGAUACCCAGCAGAAGAAAACAUGGCAGCAUCUCUACAAUGCAUCAGUGACUUUGAAGCUGUAGUUGUAGAUGGUUGUGGCCACCUGGACGCUCCAGCGUGUUCUCUGGGUACCGAGAAGCGGAGCCGUGACCUUGGCGACAAAGGUCCUUGUAGACAAAGCUAUGUUUUUUGUUUUUUUCCAUUAGCAAUGUAUAGCUGUAAGACUUAGAUUAUAAGGAAAGCUGAGUUCUGCAGAAUUGAUGCUUUUGAAUUGUGGUGCUGGAGAAGACUUAUUAGAAUCCCUUCGACAGAAGAGUAUCAAAUCUGAAGAAGGUAAUUCGGGCUAUUCAUUUGAAAGCUAAAACUAAUUGAAACUCAUUACUUUGGCCACAUAAUUAAGAGGUGGGACUCAAUUGGAAAAAAAAUAAAACCCCGAUUUGGGGAAAGUUUGAAGGCAAAAGGAGAAGACGAUGCCCAAAGAUGAGAUGGAGAGAGAGUGUCAUGGAAGCAACAAACAUGACCUUGGACAGACUUGAGGAGCUAGUGGAGGAUAGAAGAGCACCGGGUGCUAUGAUCCAGGAGUCGAGAAGACUCAGACGCACCUGAAUGACUGAAUAGCAACAAUCUGUGUCCCCUGACCACAUGUGUUCUCAUUGUAAGUGUCCUCUCUACGAAGGGGUCCUGAGGACCACAUGCAUAGAUUUGAUGCAUGGGUGUGCUCCCCGCCUUGGUGACAUAUGCCUUUUUCUAGGGAGUUUCUAGUAUGACAUAUGCCCUUCUAGGACACAUGGUAUUUUGGCACUAAAUUUGUUAUGUUACUUCUGUAAAAUGGCUCUUGCUUUGAACUAAAAUGUCCUUUUCAGUUGACUUAGUAAAAUUCCUCAUGAGACUUUGGGAGGUGUCAUUUUGAAGGGUGCUGACCCACAGAGGACCUCAAAACUAGGGUGCCUUCAAAGAAUUCAUAGAUAAAGGGAAUUUCAGAGGCUAAAGGAAAACUGGAGAUUAAAAACAGGCAUUUGAAUGGACAACCCAUAGAAUUACUCCACCAUUAUAUCUUGCCCAAGUAGUAUUAGAGAGGGAUGGUGAACUUGGCAGCAAGGAAGCACAAUGUAAGAGCACUGGACCUAGGAACAGUGUAUAGAGAGCACUGGACCUGGAAUGAAUGUAAAAUUCAAAUCCGGCCUGAGAGAUUACUACUCUCUUAAGCCUCAGGUUCCUCAUCUGUAAAAUGGGGAUUAUAAUAGCAUCUAAUUCUCAAGAUUGUUGUGAGGAUAAGAUGAGAUAAUUGGAAAAUGCUUUUCAAAACUGCAAAUUUGGUAGAAAGACUAGCAACUACUACUACUAUUGAUAGCCUAGAUCUAAAGAGGGGUUCUUGGUGAACGACAGUUCAGAAAUUACCCAAUUAUUGAAAUGAUCCUCAACGGCUUUCUAUAAGACGAUGUUUUCCUGCGUCAACAAGCAUUAACGGCUUACUCUGUGCUAAGCACUAAGGAUAUAAAUGCAAGCAAAAAGAAAAUCCAGUUAUUUCAGAAAAGUCUGGAUUCAACAUGAACUGACACGAAGUGAACCAAGAGAAUAUUGUGCACGGAAACAGCAAGAUUAUGUCAUCGACUGUGAUGGACGUACCUCCUUUCAACAAUGAGAUGAUUGAAGGCAAUUCCAAUAGACUUGGGACAGAAAAAGCCAUCUGCAUCCAGAGAGAGAAGCAUGGAGACUAAAUGUGGAUCAAAGUGUAUUUUCACCUUUUUGUUGUUUGCUUGGAGGGGGGAGGGUUUGUGUGAUUUUUUUCUCUUUUGAUCUGAUUUUUCUUGCUCAGCAUAAUGAGUAUGGAAAUAGGCUUAGAAUUGCAUCUGUUUAACCUAUAUCAGAUUGAUUGCUGUCAUGGGGAGGGGAAAGGGGGAAAAUUUGGAACACAAGCUUUUGCAAAAAUGUUUACAUGUAUUUGGAAAAAUUAAAUGCUAUAAUAAAAUAAAAGCCAGAGCCUGA